AGAGUUUGAUCAUGGCUCAGAACGAACGCUGGCGGCGUGGAUAAGACAUGCAAGUCGAGCGCUGAUUGCAGGGUAGCAAUAUUCUGCAGUUGGAGCGGCGCAAGGGUGCGUAACACGUGGGCAAUCUGCCGUGAAGUCGGGGACAACUUGCUGAAAGGCGAGCUAAUACCGGAUGUAAAAAUUGGAAGGCAUCUUCUGAUUUUCAAAGUUGGGGACCGCAAGGCCUGACGCUUCAUGAUGAGCCCGCGGCCUAUCAGCUAGUUGGUGAGGUAACGGCUCACCAAGGCUAAGACGGGUAGCUGGUCUGAGAGGACGACCAGCCACACUGGAACUGAGACACGGUCCAGACACCUACGGGUGGCAGCAGUCGAGAAUUUUUCACAAUGGGCGAAAGCCUGAUGGAGCGACGCCGCGUGGGGGAUGAAUGGCCUCGGCCCGUAAACCCCUGUCAUUUGCGAUCAAACCUCAUCAUUUAAAAGAUGAUGAGCUGAUAGUAGCGAAAGAGGAAGGGACGGCUAACUCUGUGCCAGCAGCCGCGGUAAUACAGAGGUCCCAAGCGUUGUUCGGAUUCACUGGGCGUAAAGGGUGCGUAGGUGGCGGGGUAAGUCGGAUGUGAAAGCUCGGAGCUCAACUCCGAAAUGGCAUUGGAAACUACCUUGCUCGAGGGUUGGAGGGGGGACUGGAAUUCUCGGUGUAGCAGUGAAAUGCGUAGAUAUCGAGAGGAACACCAGUGGCGAAGGCGAGUCCCUGGACAACUCCUGACACUGAGGCACGAAAGCUAGGGGAGCAAACAGGAUUAGAUACCCUAGUAGUCC
rnacentral:rRNA from 1 species